rnacentral:rRNA from 1 species
GACGAACGCUGGCGGCGUGCCUAAUACAUGCAAGUCGAACGAACUCUGGUAUUGAUUGGUGCUUGCAUCAUGAUUUACAUUUGAGUGAGUGGCGAACUGGUGAGUAACACGUGGGAAACCUGCCCAGAAGCGGGGGAUAACACCUGGAAACAGAUGCUAAUACCGCAUAACAACUUGGACCGCAUGGUCCGAGUUUGAAAGAUGGCUUCGGCUAUCACUUUUGGAUGGUCCCGCGGCGUAUUAGCUAGAUGGUGGGGUAACGGCUCACCAUGGCAAUGAUACGUAGCCGACCUGAGAGGGUAAUCGGCCACAUUGGGACUGAGACACGGCCCAAACUCCUACGGGAGGCAGCAGUAGGGAAUCUUCCACAAUGGACGAAAGUCUGAUGGAGCAACGCCGCGUGAGUGAAGAAGGGUUUCGGCUCGUAAAACUCUGUUGUUAAAGAAGAACAUAUCUGAGAGUAACUGUUCAGGUAUUGACGGUAUUUAACCAGAAAGCCACGGCUAACUACGUGCCAGCAGCCGCGGUAAUACGUAGGUGGCAAGCGUUGUCCGGAUUUAUUGGGCGUAAAGCGAGCGCAGGCGGUUUUUUAAGUCUGAUGUGAAAGCCUUCGGCUCAACCGAAGAAGUGCAUCGGAAACUGGGGAACUUGAGUGCAGAAGAGGACAGUGGAACUCCAUGUGUAGCGGUGAAAUGCGUAGAUAUAUGGAAGAACACCAGUGGCGAAAGCGGCUGUCUGGUCUGUAACUGACGCUGAGGCUCGAAAGUAUGGGUAGCAAACAGGAUUAGAUACCCUGGUAGUCCAUACCGUAAACGAUGAAUGCUAAGUGUUGGAGGGUUUCCGCCCUUCAGUGCUGCAGCUAACGCAUUAAGCAUUCCGCCUGGGGAGUACGGCCGCAAGGCUGAAACUCAAAGGAAUUGACGGGGGCCCGCACAAGCGGUGGAGCAUGUGGUUUAAUUCGAGGCUACGCGAAGAACCUUACCAGGUCUUGACAUACUAUGCAAAUCUAAGAGAUUAGACGUUCCCUUCGGGGACAUGGAUACAGGUGGUGCAUGGUUGUCGUCAGCUCGUGUCGUGAGAUGUUGGGUUAAGUCCCGCAACGAGCGCAACCCUUAUUAUCAGUUGCCGGCAUUAAGUUGGGCACUCUGGUGAGACUGCCGGUGACAAACCGGAGGAAGGUGGGGAUGACGUCAAAUCAUCAUGCCCCUUAUGACCUGGGCUACACACGUGCUACAAUGGAUGGUACAACGAGUUGCGAACUCGCGAGAGUAAGCUAAUCUCUUAAAGCCAUUCUCAGUUCGGAUUGUAGGCUGCAACUCGCCUACAUGAAGUCGGAAUCGCUAGUAAUCGCGGAUCAGCAUGCCGCGGUGAAUACGUUCCCGGGCCUUGUACACACCGCCCGUCACACCAUGAGAGUUUGUAACACCCAAAGUCGGUGGGGUAACUUUUUAGGAACCAGCCGCCUAAGGUGGGACAGAUGAUUAGGGUG